GAGAGAAAUGGAGAGGGAAGCAGCUUACGAAGAAAGCGCCGUAACAGGAGUUGAAACAAUUUUAAGAUUCUUUUUACUAUGUAACAUGAGAUAUGCAUGUCCCAUCUUGAGCCAUACUACUAUGUAUUUGUUAUAUACUUUCACUAUGGAAAAUAUCUUGUGGAAGUUGCAUUUAUUGCACUAAAUAAAUUCAUUUAUUUAAACCAUGAUGUUGUUUAGAUUCCAGGUGAACAAGACACAGAAGCUGUUAAAGCUGGCAAGAAAACUAUCGAGACGAUCAAAGGAGCUGAAAGAAUCAUGGAGGCCAUUGAAUUGUAUAAGGAAGAAAGACAGAAAGAACUUGAACAUAAAGCGAGUCAAGUGACAAAAGACAAAACGCUUCCAAAGCGCAUC